ACCAUGAGAGUUGGAAAUACCCGAAGCCUGUGAGCUAACUUAAAGAGGCAGCAGUCGAAGGUAGAGCCAAUGAUUGGGUGAAGUCGUAACAAGGUAGC
rnacentral:rRNA from 1 species